rnacentral:rRNA from 1 species
AAGAAAGUAAGAAAGGGCGUAUGGCGGAUGCCUAGGCUCACGGAGGCGAUGAAGGACGUGAUAAGCUGCGAUAAGCUUCGGGUAGGUGCAAAUAACCUUUGAUCCGAAGAUUUCCGAAUGGGACAACCUAGCCGUCUGAAGGACGGUUACUCUUACCAAUGUAAGAGAGCUAACGCAGGGAACUGAAACAUCUUAGUACCUGUAGGAAGAGAAAAUAAAUUAAUGAUUCCCCCAGUAGUGGCGAGCGAACGGGGAACAGCCCAAACCAGUGGCGUCGCAAGGCGUGGCUGGGGUUGUAGGACCGCGACAUUGUAUGCAAAUC